rnacentral:rRNA from 1 species
GUGGGGAAUCUUGCGCAAUGGGCGAAAGCCUGACGCAGCCAUGCCGCGUGGAUGAUGAAGGUCUUAGGAUUGUAAAAUCCUUUCACCGGUGAAGAUAAUGACUGUAGCCGGAGAAGAAGCCCCGGCUAACUUCGUGCCAGCUGCCGCGGUAAUACGAAGGGGGCUAGCGUUGCUCGGAAUUACUGGGCGUAAAGGGAGCGUAGGCGGACAUUUAAGUCAGGGGUGAAAUCCCGAGGCUCAACCUCGGAACUGCCUUUGAUACUGGGUGUCUUGAGUGUGAGAGAGGUGAGUGGAACUCCGAGUGUAGAGGUGAAAUUCGUAGAUAUUCGGAAGAACACCAGUGGCGAAGGCGACUCACUGGCUCAUUACUGACGCUGAGGCUCGAAAGCGUGGGGAGCAAACAGGAUUAGAAACCCUGGUAGUCC